GCAUCAUUGGUCUAGUGGUAGAAUACAACGUUGCCAUCUUGUGACCCGAGUUCGAUUCUCGGAUGAAGCA
rnacentral:tRNA from 1 species